rnacentral:lncRNA from 1 species
CUAAAUGUGGUGAUGACUUCUCAAAUAAAUUGUGCUUGAAUUAAACCCUCUAAAAAGAGGAACUUCCUAAGUGAAGUAAACAAGUUGUAGCACUACUUAGGGUGAUCAUAGAAACUUGGAGGAAAGGAUACCCCCUCAUGGACUUCCAAUGUGAAAUGAUAGCCCCUAGGCAUCUACAAGCCCCCAAAUGUAUAAAUUCAUCAAGUCUAUCUUAACUCUCCCACUUCUCUUAUAUGAAAUGAAGAAAAGAUUUUUCUCGGUCAUUUUAGUGUUAAGGUUAGAACCUGUUCCUCAUAAUAUCCAUCUUAUACAGGAGCAAGAAAAGGGUUGGACUACACACAC